GCCUUCUUGGCCGAGUGGUGGCAUUCUGCCUGCCCCCUGUGGGCAUCAUUGAGAUUCUGCUCCCCAGCUUCCGCAGUGCUCCGUUUUGUGAUGGAAAGUCAGCAUCCCUUGCCUUAGGAGAAUCCCAGGUAUCUGGUAAUGGAAGAACUUUUGAGGGAAGCUUGAGACUGGCCAGUCCACACUCUGCUUAACCAAGGGAAGGGCACCACUUCUACUACCAGGAGAUACCUGCUGUGGGACACAGUGCUGCUCCAGCCAUGCAGAAGCUCACACAGGCCUGCAGCAGUUAUUCAUCCGUGCACAGCUGCCACUGGCCAGCAGAGCCUGUGACGGGGCCUUCACAGGUAAUUCCCAAGAUCAAAACAGCCUCUGUACUUAAAAUAAUUGCUUUGCCACCAUUUCCAAGAUGCUGCAGAGUGCUUCUGAAUUCUGUUCAUUUCAAAGAACCCACUUCCUCUAUUUGAAAAACGGGUAUUUUAAUGUCUGCCAGGCCACAAUUCCAUGAGGCAUGAUAGUGUGCAGAAUGUUCUGGAGAUUUCCAGAAGAAAGAUCUCUAAGGGCCAGAACUGACUAAAGUCAUGUAGGCCACCUCUAAAAGAGGCAAGGCUCAAAGAUAAAUACUAGCAUCAAAAGAGAGGUCCUUUGGUGUGAUAUGCCCCAUGUCAUUCAGCUUUGUUGUGGCCAGUCAUCGUUGGUGGCAGCUGACUGGUGGCAGAAUCACACCCACUGUGUGAUUCUCUGCAGAAGGCUGGUGAUUUGAGGAUGGAUAGGAAGUUCUGAACUCAGGAAUACCAUGCAUUUUCACAAGCGUUUUCACUUUGCCUUAAGAUUUGUAGAAGAUUUAAGUUGGGAUCCCAUCAUCAGCAAAACCUAACACCACCAUCCUGAGAUAAGCUAAGAAAAGCUAAGAAAAAGAUAAGCUGAGAAAAGCUAAGGAAAGAUUUGUCAACCUUUCUUCUAGAUCAGAACUGCAAACGUGAUGCAGGAUUUCCUGAGGUUGGGACCGGACCGAAACAUUUUCCAUCUUCUAUUUUUGUUUACUCAGCUUCAACUGCCACCUUUUAUGCUAUCCUGGGGGCAAGGGGGCACCCAUAUGAAUGACAGAUACUGGAUUUGGCCAAGAUCAUUAGGCAAGGGUGCCCUUCCCACACAGUAAUGCCUUGCAGGCACAAGGAUGGAAAAUUAUGCCAGGAAUGCGAUACCGCCAAGCCUGAACACAGAGAGGACACGACGUUGGCACAGGCCUGUUGGGUCUUGACUUCAGCCUGCAGAGGAGCUGGAGGAGGCUGGCAGACUUGGCUCACAAAUGGGAAGGCCCAGCUGCCAAUGGCUUUUCCUCUCUGCCCAUGUAACACUUUUUGUGGGGAAUGUGUGGACACAGCUUGAGGCUUUGUAUCCACCCUGUCAGUUGGUGAGAUAGAGAAGAGAUGGGCUGAUGGUUAUUGAGGCACUACUGCUCAGAUGGGGCACUGUUGGAGCCCAUAGAUGGGGCAUUGUUGGAGCCCAUAGAUGGGGCAUUGUUGGAGUUGUAAUGAGAGAAGUUGCUAGUGGCCCCUGGAGCAAGACACCUGGAGCUUCUAUUCAGCUUGCUCUUCUUCAACGUCCAUGCUUCUGGAACUUGCAUUCCUCACAGUGAAGGAUGGAAGCCCUUUGGCCUUGCCCUCCCGCCCAGCUGAUGUGAUGCGAGGCAGAUGCAGGCAGCUGUCAGGAGAGCAAAGGGAAGGGAGAUGCUGGGUCCGGAAACCCUGCUGCUGCUGCGACAAGUGCUCCGGGUCCAGGCUGUGAUUUCCACAAUCUGCAUCCAAACCACAGAGUGAAGCCGAAAUUGCGUGAAUGAUCGGGAGUGUUUGCAGAGUUCAACCGCGGUGUUAUCACGUUUUAUUCAAAUCUCCUAGUCCAAAAAAGAAUACCACGCCCUGUUUUUAUCUCA
rnacentral:lncRNA from 1 species